CCCCCCACCCCCAUAGGAGACCCACCACCCCAUAGGAUAGGCACCCCAACCCCGAUAGGGAAACCGCCCUCCUCCCUCUAUAAGCUCCUGCUCCUCCGCUGCCUCCAUCCAGCUCCAUCAUGUCCCCCCCCCCUCGUGGUCUCCAUCACCUUCAUCACCUCCAUCAUCAUCAUCGUCAUCGUCGCCGUCGUUUCUUGGUCCCGUUGUUGCUCGGGAUCCUGCUCGGAGCCGCCGCCGCUUCCGCCGCCGCCGCCUCCGUGUUGCUGCUGGGCGGCCGGGAUGGGAACGGGAUAAAGGUGGGGGUGGGGGGUAUGUCUGUAUGUCUGUAUGUCUGUAUGUCUGUAUGUACGGCCAUCCUGAUGUCCAUCUGUCCAUCCAGGUCCCCCACCCAUCAUAAUGUCCAUCCAGGUCCCCAUCUGUCUGUCUGUCUGUCCAUCCUGAUGUCCAUCUGUCCAUCCAGGUCCCCAUCUGUCUGUCCAUCCAUCCUGAUGUCUGUCCAUCCAGGUCCCCAUCUGUCUGUCUGUCCAUCCUGA
rnacentral:lncRNA from 1 species